rnacentral:rRNA from 1 species
CCUACGGGGGGCAGCAGUGAGGAAUAUUGGUCAAUGGGCGCGAGCCUGAACCAGCCAAGUCGCGUGAAGGAUUACUGCCCUACGGGUUGUAAACUUCUUUUAUCAAGGAAUAAAGUGCGGCACUUGUGCCCUUUUGUAUUUACCUUAUGAAUAAGGACCGGCUAAUCCCGUGCCAGCAGCCGCGGUAAUACGGAGGGUCCGAGCGUUAUCCGGCUUUGUUGGGUUUAAAGGGAGCGUAGAUGGGUUGUUAAGUCAGUUGUGAAAGUUUGCGGCUCAACCGUAAAAUUGCAAUUGAUACUGGCAGUCUUGAGUACAGUUGAGGUAGGCGGAAUUCGUGGUGUAGCGGUGAAAUGCUUAGAUAUCACGAAGAACUCCGAGUGCGAAGGCAGCUUACUAGACUGCCACUGACGUUGAUGCUCGAAAGUGUGGGUAUCAAACAGGAUUAGAUACCCUUGUAGUC